CAGCAGACACAGUGAGAACUCUAUCACGCCCUGAAAGAGAGAGCAGUCAGGCGUCUCCUCCAAAUGUGGAGUCAGCAGGUGUGUGUAAACAUGCAACAGAGUUAAAUAUGACUUCGCUCCCAUAAAGACAUCCUGUCUCUGGUCUGGCUUUAGCACCUCCAGACACGUACUGGGGAGGGUGCUGCACCGCUGUGUGGUGUAGUGAGGACGCGGGAACAGUGGAGCGCUCACCCCGAGCAGGGGCACCAGGGAGGGGCGGGGCCUCUGAGAAGGGUGGGGCCCCAGCUGCAGCUCCUCGGCCACUGUCACAUGGGGUGCAGGCCCAGCGUGGCCAGAUUUUCUACUUUUCAAGUGAAGACAGGAAGCCCUGUUUAUCUACGGCGUUUCUGAAUUUCGAAAUGGAGUUCAGGAUCAAAACCCAGUGUCUUUACAUCAGAGUCGAGUCAAUGCAAACAUGGACGGGUUUGAUUUUCAUACUACAUCGCCUGGAAAACUUAGCUAUUAAAAGAGUUCUCGUAUAGCCGGGUGCAGUGGACUGAGUAUCGAAUGGCUCCUUCUUCUUCCCUGGAACUGAAAUCAUUGUACAUUAUCAAGCCACCUGGAAACACACAGAUGAAACAAUUCCGACCAUUGUGUCAGCACACAGGCGUACAGGCUACCGCAUCCCGCCUUGUGAGUACUACAGACCAGUCCGUAUCAGGGAAAACAGUGAAAAGAGACACGUAGGUUGUGUCAACAAGCGAGAGCUGUGUCUGCUCCCUGGUGCUGUGGCUGUCAGUGCUGGAGAGCACGGCCUGGACAGCCCCGCCAAACAGCCCACCCUGGACAGCGCCCCCUGGACAGCCCACCCUGGACAGCCUGCCCAGCCCACACAGCAGGGUCUGGUCUCCCUCCCACGCCCCUGCUCUCAGCCCUCUGCCCCCAUCGGAAGAACACAGUGUCUCCACACCCUGUGCACAGCUCCUUAGAUUCUCUGCUGAGAGAGUCCAUCAAUGUAAUAAAAACUGAAAGCAGCAAGAAAUCUCCCUACAGUGCCCCUCCCGCUCAUCUGCUCCAAGUCACCUUGUUCCCGAUACUGAUCACCCGCUGAUCACGCCCUUCUAGUCUGGAGGCAAGGCCAGCAGCACCACCGAGGACCAGCCCGGUCCAGCUUCUGAGGGCUUCUCCCGCCUGUGCUACUCGUUCUUCCCUUGGUCCCUGCAUCCUCCCCCUCACUCUUGGCAUCCUCUGCUCACACACACGGGCAAUCAGACCACGGGCUGUGGCACUGAAGGCACUUUUUGGGUUUUUUUUUUUUUUUGAGACAGAGUCUUGCUCUGUCACCCAGGCUGGAGUGCAGUGGCACAAUCUUGGCUCACUGCAACUUCUGCCUCCCGGGUUCAAGCGAUUCUCCCGCCUCAGCCUCCUGAGUAGCUAGGACUACAGGCGCCUGCCACCACGCCCAGCUAAUUUUUGUAUUUUUAGUAAAGACCGGUUUUUGCCAUGUUGGCCAGGCUGGUUUUGAACUCCUGACCUCAGGUGAUCUGCCUGCCUCGGCCUCCCAAAGUGCUGGGAUUAUAGGCGUGAGCCACUGCGCCCAGCCUAAAGGCACUUUAAAGGGAAAGAGAAUCCAGCCGGGCUCGCGAAGGCCACGGCGCAGCACUCAGUGCCAGCGCCUCCCAUGGGCUCACGCUCAAGGCCUGUGGGAGGGCAAGUGCACUGGGGAGGGGCCGGGCCACAGGGGCCAGGUGGCACAGUAGUCAGGGCCUCAGUUCCCCAACCUGUCACAUGGGGGCAGGCCCAGGGUGCCAGGCUUUCCGUUUUUCCAGUGAAGGCAGGGAGCCCCAUUUUUCUAUGAACCUGAAUUUCUAAAUGGAGAAAACGAAUUUCAAAAAAAAUUUAAACAUGGUAUGAGGCGAACAAAUAUCACUGCAGCCAUAUUCAGUCCUGAAGCUAGCACUGUGCAGCGUCUAGCUUUGGCUAUGGAUUCGAAUCCCCGGGUUCUACAACCACAGAUGUCUUUUUAAGCUUAAUCAUCAACCGACCAGACUUCCCACAGCCAGCACAGCAGCCCUUUCUGAAACUCCUCCUGGGCACGUUUACUUACUGGAAUUUUCAAGGCCCCUGUGAAGCUGAUGGCGGCCGUGCCACUCCCACCGUCCCCGGGGAGAAUGACGACGUGGUUCGGGUGGAUGGAGCCCUUCCCAUCUGAGAGCAGCAGGCACUGCAUCUCUGGGUCCUGGAGGCAAAUCCAUUGGGAACAAAAAGGAAAGGUGUUACCAGCCGGGCAGUCUGGGUGAAGUGGGGCCAGGCUUCCUAAUGACGAGGGUGCCUGGCGGCUCUCUCUUCCACUGCCUUGGAGACAUCCUGGGUGACAUUCCCACCUGGCCACUGUGUUAGAAUGAUUAGCAUUCAUGCAUUUUCAUGAACGGCUAGGUACACAGAUCCUCUGAUCCAGAAAUUCUAGGAAUCUAUUGGCAAAAAAUAAUUUGAAAAGUAAAAAGAUACUUAUAAAGUAAAAUGGAUGUCACAUCAUCAUUGAGAAAAAAUAGAAAAUUCAAAUACAUCCAUACGAAUGACAUCUUGUAAAAAAAAGGUUGGGAGAUUUUAAUGACGGAAAAUGCUUAUGACACAUUAAAUAACACAUCAUUCAAAACUGCAUGUCAUUAUAACCUCAAAGAAUGUUUAAAUAUCUACGUAUGUAACUAGGCAACUAUAGGAUCUAUUUCUAGAAAGAAAGAAGCUAAAAUCUAAGCCAACAAUGGUUGUCAGCGAGUGGUGGAAUUAUGUGUAAUUUUUAUCGAAAUGCUAAUAAGAAAUUCUUUACAUGAUCCUGCAUUUUUUAGGAGUUCACAAUGGCCAUAUAUGACCAGAAAUAACAUUAUUUUAAAAUACACCAACAUUAUUUUAAAAUACACCUAUUCUGAUAUUUAUGAAUUCUGAUUGUCUAGACGUUCCUAAAGGACAAAGUGUACAUUCAUUAAAGCAAAGAAGAGUGAUUCCCCAACCUAGAGUGGGAUUUCAAGUCAGAGCAAGGAUAACAUAAAAAUAAUCUUAGCCUGGGCCACACAGUAAGACCUAAAAAAAAAUAGUGGAAUGUGGUGGUAUGCGCUUGUAGUCCUAGCUGCUCUGGAGGCUGAGGCAGGAGGAUCACCUGAGCCCAGGAGGUGGAGGCUGCAGUGAGCUGUGAUUGUGCGGCUGUCCUUCAGCCCGGGCAAGACCCUGUCUCAAAAAAGAAUGAAAAUAAAAUAAAAAUAUUCUUCAUGAGUGAGCUAUGAGGUUCAAGGUCUUACAAAGAAAUGCUUCUAGGUAUCUCAGACCUUUCACAAAAUCAAACAGGCUUUGUGGUACUUAUCUCACUAUAACCUGUUAUAAGUUGGACUAAAAAUGUAGUUUAAUUAAAAAAAAAAAAGAAAAUGGUAAUGUAUUCCACAUUCCCCUGCCCCUUGAUAUUUAGAAUAUUUAGAAUUCUCUUCCAGUGGAAAACAGACAUUUGGAAACCGGGUGGCAGGUGGCACCGAGUGCAGCCCAGUGUGGGCACCCAGUGGGUGGCCUUGGGGGCAGCCCAGCGUCUACGUGCCCCAGGAAGCCCGGCUUCACAGCUAGGACUCUGGCAUGGAGAGCGGGUCUCUGAUGAAGAUAUUCACAUGUGGCCACAUAGUCAGGUGCUCUGGAAUGAAGAUGACAAGGCUGAGUGCAGAUGCCUAACAUGCUCCCGAUGAUAAUCCCAUCACGGCACGUGAAAGCAAAGAAUGGCGACUUGAGUUUCUGAAUAAACUUUUCUCUCAUGAAUUCUGCUAAUCGUCCAGUUUAGAAAACUACAUCAGUAAUGCUCUACUGUGGCUAAGCACUGGAAUCUCCUCGGGGGGCUUUGAGAAGCCUCGAAUUCCCCCAGCCCCACGGAAGCAGUCCCUGGGGCAGCCCCAGGCGAGUUCCACUCAUAGCAAGCUGAGGGCUACAGGACUUCACAGGCCGUUCCGCAGGAAACAGGCUCAGCAGUGGGUGAAAUGCAGCCAGCUGGAGAAAAGUCAAGCGGAACGAGGCCGCUUAGCCAGGAGAAGCGCACCCUCUGACCCGCAGAGAAGUGACCGCAGGUCAACACAGAAGACCUACUUGGCCUCAGGUAGGACCCAGAUGCCCAAAGGCCGCCCACGGCCCUUGCAGGAUUUGUAAAGUGCUUCAGGGUCCACUUGCUGGGCUGGUUUAAAGCCACAGACACAGACCCUCUGCUCCUUAUCUAAGCAGCAAGGAGCCCCCGAGACAGACAGAAGGCUCUGUUUCUGCUGAGAACGGGCCCUGUGCUCACAGCCACUCAUCUUAAACAGGACUUGUAGCCACCAUACCUGAGUUGUUUGCUCCUGGAGGAGAUGGGAAAGAGUGUGGGGCCAUGGCUGGUUUUCCAAAACAAACAGGGGGCUGCUGCUGCCUCCUCCUUACAUAGCAAACAAGAAGCCACUGGGUGGACCAAGACAAGGCUGGAGGCCAAGAGGCACCUCUGCCUCUAAACAAGCAGUUUCCAGUCUGUGUCCCAAGAGCCCCAAAUGGGAUCUGUGGAGCCCCCGGUGGGUGUGGGGGCUUCUGUGGCCAGUGCACUCCACGCUUAGGGCUUACACUUUCAAAGAGAAAAGGGUUCCCUCUACUAAAAUGCCCCCACACACAACAAAAAUACACACAGACGCAUGUGGGGGGACUGCGUAAUAACGAUCGCUUUAUCUAAAAAUGCUAAGCUCACCCCGCUACCCGAUGCUGUCUGCAGCUUCCCUUUGGGAAAGGCCAUCACAAGAGAGAUUUGUGGAGUCCCCACUUGGCGUGCAAAGUGCACGGUGGAGUCACAUUCAACCUCCAAAUACCCACUCCGUGCUCACGCCGCGUUUGGUGGGCCCAACAGUUCUUGAGCCACAGCCAAUCAGAAGGAUCCUCAGAGACGUCAAGGAGGAAAAGUGACAAGUGACUACAGGGAUGGCAAGUGCGACCGUCCCCAAGACAAUCCUCUAAAACGCCCGCGGGGACCUGCGGGCUCGCCACGUGGCCAAGUGACAGCAGCGCCUCAUUCUCUUUCCCACAUUUGCUCCCCGCCCCCCAGCUUUCUUUACAUGUCUCUUCAAGAGGCCACUGAGAAACUGCCUGCUACGUGACAUAGUGUAGCAGCUCUGUCUGAAAAGGAGUGGAGGUCAGGGGCUGGGUGACACCCCACUGAGCCCAGCGGUCACUCUGGGAAAGGGGACAUCCAGGGUGUCCAGCCAACCUCAUGGGGACUCUCCCCGCCUACCCUGACCCAAGAGCAAUGGCAGGCCCGCCGAAAGGGGAUGCCACGUAAGCGAGGUCAGCAUGCGCCCGGUUGUGGUCGUCACCCUCAGCCUGAAAUAAGGCCUGCCAGUGCCUUUACUUACAUAACUGGCUCCUUGAUGGCAAGUCUGUAAACAGCCUUUCUUAGAGGGCCGGAAAAGGAAAGAGAGAAACUAUACUUAGAAGCCAAGGCUAGUUCUAUGGGUCAGUUACUACACCAGAAGAAAGGGCCUGUGGUCUUGAUUCAGAAGAAGUGGCAGGCUUCAGUAUCAUCAGAGAGGGGUGACAGCCUUUUGGACACUGGGACAUGAUUUGUUUAAAUGUGAAUUCAGAAGUAAGUACAGAUUUUAAAGCAUUUUGGUUGAAUUAGUCACUGCCUACUGUCUCCCUAAAAUCCAAGAACCCAGAUGCACGAGACAUCAUUCUUCCCUUUUCUAAUAUUUCAGCCACUACAAAUAAAUUUCUGCAGUCAAUAAAAAAGUGAGAUGCAUGUUUAGUACAUUAAUCCUUUAAGCUAUUUAAUUUAAAAAGAUAGGGAGAGCAGCCCCUUACACAUGCUGGAGGGGUCUUUCUGACAGAGGAGAGGCCCUGUGUCUGCUGUAGAAGGUUAAACCUUAUUUAGAGGCCGGGUGCGGUGGCUGAAGCCUGUAAUUCCAGCACUUUGGGAGGCUAAGGCGGGUGGGUCACCUGAGGUCAGGAGUUCAAGACUAGCCUGGCCAACAUGGUGAAACCCCAUCUCUACUAAAAAAAUACAAAAUUCAGCCAGGUGUGGUGGUGGGUGCCUGUAAUCCCAGCUAAUAGGGAGGCUGAGGCAGGAGAAUCACUUGAACCCAGGAGGCGGAGGUUGCAGUGAGCCGAGAUCAUGCCACUGCACUCCAGACUGGGCGACAGAGUAAGAUCUUGUCUCAAAAAAAAAAAAAAAAAAAAACAACCAACCAACCAAACAAACAAAAACCUGAUCUAGAAAGAGAACAGCUUAUAACUUCAAUGAUUAAACUCAAAUUUAAAAUGCCCGCUGCAGCUUGGUGUGGUCAGCUAAGCAGCAGCAAUGUGAGGAGCCUCUACAAGGAUCAAUGAUGGGAAGGGUAGGGCACAGGAGGCUCAGGUGCUAGGGGUGGGCCAGACCUGCACUGAGGCCUCCCUGCUACCGCGGAUGACAAGGCAGAUUAACUUAGCAUUUCUGUGUCCGGAAUUCCUCAUCUGUGACAUAGGGGAGGUGGAGAUGCCUCCUUCUGUUACCUGCUUCUCCCUUUUCUUGGUCCCAUGAUGUCAGUUUUCUGUGUGCACCUCACGUGGCCAGCCCACCGUGCGCCCCUCACCCUGACACCCUCUGUGCUCAGGCACCUGCAGACUCUCCCUCCAGUCCCUCACAGCUCUGUUUCAACACUGCCUGCCUAGGGAAGCCUCCCAAGGCCAGCUGAAAAUAGAGCCUGCUCAGCCUGUCUUCCUGCCGCUUGGCACCGCUUGGGGGAUGUCUCUGCCUGCGUUCCGUCUACACCAGCACCGCCCCCAACACCUGGAAUAGUGCCUGGGACAUUGAAAGGUGCGGAGCUGCUGAAUGAAUGAACUGGUUAAGUGUAAAAUCCAAAGAAAGCCAAUAAGGGCAAACUCAAAUUUUACUGAAGAAAUACAAUGAGACAGAAUUUUUUUAAGACCUGGAUGUUUGUGACACAUGUCACAUAGGCAGAGGGACAGAGAGCCGACGUGGCUCAAAGGAGUUUUCCUGCAGCUCCGACAUUCUAGGAAGUGGAAGUUGUGUGUGACUUACCAGAGGCUUGUUCUUUUCGCUCUUCAAGAUUUGCUUCUGGAGUCUCAAUCUGUUUGUACCAUUCUCAUAGCCUUUUGAGUGCUGGUAAAAAAAAAAGUUUCAUUAGAGCGAUACUGAUUCAACAGCUAGAAAUUAAACCUGGCUUUACUGUAGCAAGGAUACUUACUAUCGUCCCAAAAAAGCUACCAAGAGGACAUAAGACAACUGAUUUAAACAGAAUAAUGGUUGAUCUCAACACUCCAGACUCUCAGAUAAUAGAAUGUGAGCAUAAAAUCCUCUCUUGAAGAAAGAGCUAAGACAGAGGUGUAAUCAAAUGUAAAAAUACCCAUUAAGCCAACUUAACUUUUCUGAAUGGCCGUGAGAUUGUUUCAAUGGUUUUGAAAUGAAAAGGCACAGACCAAUCUUUCCCUUUAACAUGUGAGGAACACCUGCCCUCCCUAGGUCAGCCGAAUGCUUCUGAAGGAAAAAAAAAAAACCGUCUCUAGGGAAGGAGAGUGUGGCUUGCUCAACAGCCCCAGAAUGUGGACCUGCUGCUAGAGGGCAGGGAGGUGGAAGGACUGCACUGAUGCACUCCAAAACUCAAAAUCAUUUCAAAAUUAUCUCCUGUUACCAAGUGAAAAGUGAAGAAAUGAAGGCAGUUUCUUGGGCACUAGAAUAAAGGUACCAUUUCCUAAUCAUUAUUUCUACAGGGCUCUAUGUAGAACCCCUUUUGAAGAUAAUUAAUGGUAUAAAAAUAAUUGUUGAAAUUCUCCAGUGGUAAAAUGUUGUUGUUUGUUGAUGAAAUAGUCCAAACAAACUUCCUUUAAAAUAAGGAAUCAGUCUGUACUUAGAAAGAUGUUAUUCACUCACUCUAGUAUAAAUGAUAACAAAACAAUUUCUAAGGCUUAGAGAGGCCCAGAUGAUUUAGAUUUCUGGCACUAGUGCUGGAUGCAUUUGAGAAGAAAAACCACCAGGCUUGCACGCUAACUGUGAGAUCUGCAAGUAGAGAUCUAUGGGGCCUCCAAAAGGCGGGAAACACGGGGAAGACAGAGCAUGGGUUAAACUCCGUUCAGAUGGACAGUUGGAUCCCACCCUUUACAUUUCGAGGCAUUUCCCCUGAAAAGGUUUCUGAAGGUUAAGAAAAACUAUUGAUCUUAUUACUUGAAAAUGUAACAAAACACCUUUAAAAAUACAUUUGUUUUGUGCUCAGAGGGAGGGCAAAGCCUGCCAGGCUAGGGGUGAUUAUCUGGCCAGUUUAUCAUCCGACCAUUCCAGGCAGAAGCAGAGAUGGGUUCCUGCUCCCCAGCACUCGGCCCCCCGUCCCCCGCAGUGAGCAGAGGCUGCCAGCAUCACCCGGGCCCUCUUCUUCCUGCUUUUCAGCCAGGAACGUGGGUGCUCAGGCAAAGCCUAUCUUAAAAUUCCUUUUCAGCUUGAUGUGGUCAGCUAAGCAGAAAUGAUGUUAGGAAAUGCUAGGAAGUCUCCUGAAAGGGAAGGGGCCUGUCCCUAAUGUCCUUUCCCUCCUUCCUGCUGGCUGGAAUACAGAUGUAAUGGCUGGAGCUCCAGCAGCCACUGACCAAUCAUUCAUUCACUCAUUCAACAAAUAAUUAUUAAGCAUCAACUCUGUGCCUGGCACUGUUCUAAUUGGUUGGAAUAUAUCACCUUUGGCAUGAAGCCAUGCACAGGGGAAGAACGAAAAGACAAGAGGAGUCUGUGUCCCUGACACUCAACACGCACACCCCACAUCAUCCUGGGCUGGCUCUCUCCAGAUUUCUUGAAUAGAAGAGAGAAAUACCUUCCCAUCUUGUUUUAGUAACUGCCUGUGGGCUUUUCUAUUGCUUGCUGCUGAACACAACCCCAACUAAUCUGAAGAUAUUAAUAAAAACAUUAAUUUUGACACAACUGAUACAGGGUUUUGGACCCAAUGAGGUCCUAGAUUAGGGCACAAAAUAGAUAUCCUAAACCUAAGUAACCUAGGAAUCAAAUACAAAUCAAAAGAACAAGUUCCCAUGGCUCUUCAAUAGCACAGGGCAGAAGCAUAAAGAGACACAUUCUUAUUAGCACCCUCAGACUCAAGGCAAAUGGUAAAGAAUUGAAUACUCUCUUUCAUAUUAAUUGUGAUUCAUUUGAAACAAAAACUAAUUAGAAAAAUCAAAUCUGGAUCAGAUGAAGGUUUCCAGUUUACAGGAGAUACAGGGGAUAGAGGAACACGUGAAACACACCCCAGGUACAAGGUCAGCAAAGCCUCAAAUGUGGGAAACUUGGUAGAAAAAAUGACCAUUUUUUAUUUUGACAAAAGCAAUUCAAAGGAGAAUAACACCAAACCAAAAAAACAAAACAAAACAAAACAAAACAAAACAAAAAAAACCAUUGAGGUCCUAUAAAUUAGAAGAGCCUUAAGAGGCACAUUAAAUUAACCAAUCAGAAGGAGUGGACCUUGCCUAGGCCUUGCUCAAACACAGUGCAAAAUCAUUUAUAAGACAAUCAGCAGAUCUGACCAUUGAGUAGCUGUAUGAUAAUAGAAAGGAUUAUAGAUUUUAAAAAUUUGUAAUAGCAUUGUUGAGACAGAAUUCACAUACUGUACCAUUCACUCAUUUAAUGUUCACAAUUCAGUGGUUUUUAAAUUCAGUUUUGCAACCAUCACUACAAUUUGAGAACAUUUUCAUCACCUCCAAAAAGAAACCUCAUACCUGUCAGCAGUCAUCCCCCCUUUCUUCCCACCCUAGUCCCUGACAACCACUCAUCUUCUUUCUAUCUCUAGGUUUGCCUAUUCUGGACAUUUCAUAUGAAUGAAAUCAUACAAUAUGUGACCUUUUGUGACUGGUUUCUUCUGCUUCGCGUAAUGUUUUUUGAUGCUAUUGUAAAUGAAACGGCCUUAAUUUCAUCUUUGGAUUGUUGACUGCUAGUGUAUAGAAAUACAAUUGAUUUUUGUAUACUGGUCUUGUUUUCUGCAACCUUGCUAACUUAUUAAUUCACUCUAACCAUUUUUUUGAGGACUCCUUAUGAUUUUCUGUAUAAAAGAUCAUGUCAUCUGCAAAGAGAAGUAGUCUUACUUCUUGUCUAAUCUGCAUGCCGUUUAUAUCCUUUUCUUGCCUAACUGGCCUGCCUGCAUUACAAUGGUAAAUAGAAACGGCAAGAGCAGGCCUCCUAGUCUUGUUCCUGAUCUCAGGCGGAAAGCACCUGGUCUUUCACCAUUAAGCACACUGUGAGGUGUGGGUUUUAUUAGAUGCCCUUUGUCAGGUCAAGGAAGUUGCUUUCUAUUCCUAGUUUGUUGAGUGUUUUCACAUGAAAGGGUGCUGGAUUUUGUCCAGUGCUUUGCCUGCUUCUACUGAGAUGAUCAUGCAGCUUUUGUCCUUUAUCCAUUCAAAUGGUGUAUUACAUUAACAUUACCUGUUAAGCCAGCUGUGUAUUCCUGGGAUAAAUCCCACUUGAUCAUGGUAAAUAAUCCUUUUGUAGGUGGCUGAAUUCUGGUUGCUGCUAUUGAGUUUUGCAUCUACACUCAUAAAAGAUACUGUUGUACAGUUUUCUUAAGAGGUUUUAGUCUUUUGUUAUUACGAUAACACCUCAUAGAAUGAAUUAGGAAGUUUCCCCCCACUUUUAUUUUUUGGAAGAGUUUGUGAGUAAUUAGUAUUAGCUCUUCUUUCCAUGUUUGGCAGAAUUUACCAGUAAAGCCAUCUGGUCCUGGGAUUUUCUUUGAGUGAAGUUUUUAAAUUAACAAUUUAAUUUCUUUACUUGUUUUAGAUCUAUUCAGAUUUCCUCCUCUCUUGAGUCAGUUUUGGUAGUUUCUGUCCUUCUAUGAAUUUUUCCAUUUAUUCAAAGUUUUCUAAUUGGUUGGCAUAUAGUUCCCUCAUAAUCCAUUUUAUUUCAGUAAAUGUGGCAGAAAUGCCACCUUUCCUGGUCCUGAUUUUGGUAAUUUGAGUCCUCCUUUAUUCUUGGUCAGUCUAGGUGCAGGAUGAUCAAUUUUGUUGAUCUUUCCAAAGAACCAACUUUUGGUUUCAUUGAUUUUCUCUACUGUUUUUCUAUUCUUUGCCAUUGGUUUUUAAGUGUGAUAAUGGUAUAGUACAUUUUGUUUCACAUAAAAGAGUCCUUAUAUUUUGGAAACAUACUGAAGUAGUCAGAGACAAAAUAUUAAGAUGAUUGCUAUUUGCUUGCAAAAUACAUCAGCAGGAGGUGGGAAGGGAUAGUAUUAGAAGGGGCGUUGAUAGAGUCAGAUUGGCCAACUGUUGGAAACUUGGGUAAUGGGUACACAGGGGUUCGUUAUGCUGUUAUUUUUACCUUUUUAUAUGUUUAAAGUCUCCAUAACAAGAACUUUAAAAUAUUGGAAAAAAUUAGAAUUUUAUCCUAAAAAUAACACUUCCACAUGGGAACUUCCCAGAACAAGUCAGCACAUCUGAAAUCUCUUACAAAUGCAUUUUGCUUUGCCCAAAAGCUCCCAUUUGUGAUAAAGGGAAGAUACUACAGAAGGACAGCAGCUGAUGGGACAUUGGCCAAACUGCCCUCAGCUCCCUCAGGAAGGCCCGUGACAAGGGUCUCGUUGGUGUCCUGCACAGAGCAGGUAACAUUCCUGCAGGAAAAAGAACUUUGGGGCUGUUUGCAGAAGCUGAUAAAAUAUCCCCAGAUAUCAGCCAUCUCUCCCUCUGCGACCAGCCAACAUGGAGAGGAGAGAGGACGAGAAGCUGUUUCUCUGGACCACCUGCCUCAGGGCACGUCGGGGACACCUGGGCACCAGUAGAUCUCAGUGAACUGCUCGGAGAGGAUUUGAACGGGGAGAAUGAAACACAGGCUUCAGCCCCAAACUCAUACACACGAGGAGCAGAAGCAAUGCCUCUCGCCUAGAUGAGCUCUCAUAUUCCUAAAAGCUGUGUGUGAGGAAGAGCUGCUCCUCCCCAAAACCCCCUGCACGCCUGCUUCCUAUCCUCAGGCCUGGCCGCCCCUGGGUGAGAAAAGCUCUUCUUAGAGGACAGAAGGUGUUCCAGGGCGGAAGGUGUGUGCGAAGUUCUCCCCAGUCUCAAGACGGCUGGUCCGGGCAGCUUUAAGCUACUUCACGGCACGACUGUACAAGCUUGGAAACUGAAAUUCAUGCUCAGGGCAGGAACACGGCUUUUUAAAACAUUUUAAAAUAUCAACCAUAGUUUUAAGAACAUCAUAUGGUGUUUGACCUUCCUGAAGGCACUGGUUUUCAAACUUCAUUUUGUUUCUUUGUUUUUGUCAUCAAGUAUCAGAACCCUUCUUUCCAUAUGAAUCACACCCAGGAGCCCGAGGUAUGAAAAGACAGAAAAAGGACUCUGGCCCCCCUCCCGCACGAGGCCAGGUGCUGCCCCAGGUGCCGGGACCCAGUGAUGAUCCAGGCCCGAGGGGCUCGCACCCUUCUGUGAGGGUGACAGAGACCAACCAGAUGGACUGGUGAGGAUUUCACACGGGGCGACAUGGAGCCACUGGACUGUGUUGUGCAAGGGCUGAUGUGCUCUGGCGUCUGUAUCAAUACAGUCUCUGCAAGUGCGGUGUGAAGAAGAGAUUCUGGGGAGCAAGAGUGGAUCGUUCUAGGAGGCUGAUGAGCAGUGGCUCGGAGGAGAGCUGACGGUGGUGACGGGGACCAGGGUGGUAGAGGCGGAGGAGGUGAGAGGGUUUCCAUUCCACAUCCCCUCACAGAACAGAGCAGAACUGACAGAACAUGGCCAAGGAUGGGGUGCGGGGCUGAAGGGAGGGGGUGUUGGGCUGGCUCCUCGGGUCUGGCCUGUCCACAGGGUGGACAGCAGCUUCCUGACUGAGAUGGGGGAUGCUGGGGGAUCGGCUUGUGCAGGGGUAAAAUCAAGAGAUCUCCUCCAGUCGUGUUAAGUCUGAAGGACACUCAGACAUCUCCGUGGGAAGGUUGAGUGGUGGUGAGACCUCAGAUUGCGGAGCUCAGGGGUGGGUCACUCUGGGGACAGCAUGGUGACUCGACAUCAACGCACCUGGAGCCGCUGAAAGGCCCGAGCGCGCUCUCCUGCAGUGAGCGGGCAGACAAGGAGAGAGGAGGCCGCAGGGCAGCCUGGGGGCACCCCCACAUCUGGGGUCUGACACUCGGCACAGACGUGACUAACAUGUUAGCCCGGGUAGGGGAGCCUUUCCCAGAGGGAGGGAAGAGAGCUGACCCCCAGAGGGAGGGAAGCAUUGGGUCAGACGCGGGCGACGGGCCCAGCAGGGUGAGGCCAGAGAGCUGACCACCCUAUGUGUCCGGGUGACGUUGCUGGGAUCUGAUGGGCUGUUCCCGUGAGGUGGCGGUGGCCUGCAGACAGGAGGGGUGUCAUGCCAGUGGACAUGGGGAGCGGGGCGGCUGGGAGCAGGCAUGAGGGCCAGAGGGACUUUCUUCCAAGACAGCCACCAAUACUACAUGAGUGUGCCAGGAAUGGUAUUUGGGGCGGGGGGUGUGUCUGCGGGAGUCAAGCCCUGGGCCAUGAGAGGGAGGGGACCGGUACCGCGGGAGGGCUGGCCUUAGCCAGGUGGG
rnacentral:lncRNA from 10 species